rnacentral:rRNA from 1 species
GAUGAACGCUGGCGGUAUGCUUAACACAUGCAAGUCGAACGGUCACUUCGGUGAUAGUGGCGGACGGGUGAGUAACGCGUGAGAAUCUGUCUUCAGGUCGGGGACAACAGUUAGAAAUGACUGCUAAUACCGGAUGUGCCUUUGGGUGAAAGAUUUAUUGCCUGAAAAAGAGCUCGCGUCAGAUUAGCUAGUAGGUGGUGUAAGAGACUACCUAGGCUCCGAUCUGUAGCUGGUCUGAGAGGACGAUCAGCCACACUGGAACUGAGACACGGUCCGGACUCCUACGGGAGGCAGCAGUGGGGAAUUUUCCGCAAUGGGCGAAAGCCUGACGGAGCAAUACCGCGUGAGGGACGAAGGCUUUUGGGUCGUAAACCUCUUUUCUCAAGGAAGAUGAUGACGGUACUUGAGGAAUAAGCAUCGGCUAACUCUGUG